rnacentral:rRNA from 1 species
CCUACGGGAGGCAGCAGUGGGGAAUAUUGGGCAAUGGGCGCAAGCCUGACCCAGCAACGCCGCGUGAAGGAAGAAGGCUUUCGGGUUGUAAACUUCUUUUAAGGGGGAAGAGCAGAAGACGGUACCCCUUGAAUAAGCCACGGCUAACUAAGUGCCAGCAUACGUGGUAAUACGUAGGUGGCGAGCGUUGUCCGGAUUUACUGGUGGUAAAGGGCGUGCAGCCGGAGAGACAAGUCAGAUGUGAAAUCCACGGGCUCAACCCGUGAACUGCAUUUGAAACUGUUUCCCUUGAGUGUCGGAGGGGUAAUCGGAAUGCCUAGGGUAGCGGUGAAAUGCGUAGAUAUAAGGAAGAACACCAGUGGCGAAGGCGGAUUACUGGACGAUAACUGACGGUGAGGCGCGAAAGCGUGGGGAGCAAACAGGAUUAGAUACCCCUGUAGUC